CAGUAGGGAAUCUUCGGCAAUGGGGGCAACCCUGACCGAGCAACGCCGCGUGAGUGAAGAAGGUUUUCAGAUCGUAAAGCUCUGUUGUAAGAGAAGAACGUGUGUGAGAGUGGAAAGUUCACACAGUGACGGUAACUUACCAGAAAGGGACGGCUAACUACGUGCCAG
rnacentral:rRNA from 1 species